CCAUAUUUAUUUUUCUUUACAAAAGUUGCUCUUGGAUCGGAGCAUGCUAUAAUUAAUUAAUUAAUAAGCUUUCAGUGUUGUAAAUUUCAUUAGACAUUGAAUAUCAUAUAGGAUCAAUACAACAAUCAAUACAGUAACGUUACGAAUGAAUCCAAAUUACAUUUAGUGUAUAUAAUAAAAUACCAACUCUAUUUUCAUAUUUUUUAUAUAUUAAGUAUACAGUAAGAUAUUAAUAAUUAAACAAAUUAAAUAAAAUUUGUUCUUUUUUUUUUUUUUGGUUAUAAUUUAUAAGCAGUGACUAAGUUCUUCAAAACCAGAGGCUCUUCCUCCAGCAUUAACACAUGAAGCAUCAGCUCGACCAUCUUUUUAUUUUUAUCUUCAAAAAUUUAAUUUUGUGUAUCUAUUUUCACUUGUGAGAGAAAUCGAAAUUUAUAGCUAUUUCUCAAUAACGAAAAAUUGCUUCCCUCAAAUCUAAAAAGAAAAAUGCUCUUAACAUUCUGGAAGCUUAGUCAAGUAAGUUCUAAUUUUUAAAAUAAGAUUUUUUUUAAUUAAAAAAAGCAUUUUUUAAUUUACUAAAAACUUUGACGAAACAAUUAUUAAUUUAAUUGGUUAAUUCUAAAGCUAAAUGUUUUUUCCCCCCUAUAAUUGUGUAAGCAUGUCGUGCCCAUGUACCACUAUAAAAUAGGGCUAUAUGCUUAAAAAAGUUAAUUAACUGAAUAAAGUAUAUAAAACUGUUUUAUGAGUAAAAAUAAAAACUUUUUCUUUUCUUCUCUUGCUUUAAGAAAUUUAUGUUUAAUCUUUUAUAACCAAUUUUCAGUUUUUUUUCACCACAAAAUGCUUAUUUUAUUGUAUUUUUUAAGUAUUGUUCCGUCUCAAAUUAUUUAUCGUAUUAUUUUAUUACAUGUCCUUUUAAAACUAUUAGUUAGGAUGGAUUUUAUUGACUGUUUUACCACUAUUUAUGUUUUAGAUAUUCAUUCUUCAUUAAAUAUUUAAUUCUGUGUUUCAUAUUACUUGAAUACCGUUGACUUAACACAUUAAGAAAGCAUUUCAUAGAUGUAUAUUUUACUAAAUUAACCUUAUUUAUGAUGCUUAGAACUCUAAAAUUCUCUUGAUCUACUAAAAUGAAUAAGUAAAAUGAAAUGGGGGAGUAUUUUAUUGAAGUAUAUGUAUUUUUCAAGAACAAUUACUGCUGAGAAUAAAAUGAGAAACAUGAUUAAUUUUGUCAUAAACUUCUAAAAUAAUAAAUAAUUUGAUACAAACUAUUUUCAGUUUUCACAAAUUGCGACAAAUAAUUUGAGACGGAGGAAAUAGUUUAUUUCUGUUAAAUAAACCGAAAGAGAAAAAGAAAAACAGCUCAAACAUAUUAUAUGCCAAAUUAUAAAUGACUUGCAAUCUACUUAAUUAGCUCAAAUUGCUUAUUACUUUAACUUCUUGCUAAAAAAACUUUUAGUUUGUACUAAUUACUUUUUUUCCUUUUUAGUCUAAACUCUUUAACAUGUGACCAAAGAUUUGUUAAUUGCAUCUCUUUUUUCUAGAAAAAAAAUCAUUUUUUUUAAAGUAAGUUACAAAAAAAAAAAAAAAAACAGUUUUCUUGCUUUUCGUUCCACAAAAACAUCACUUUUUAUGAAGUGGAAAACUGAAAAGUCAUAAAAAAAAAUAAAAAUAAAUUAAAGCUCACCUUAUAAAUAUACCUCAACUUAGAAACUGCUAAACCAUAUUACUCAUCAUCUCAACUCUUAAUCUUCUCUGAUUAUUUUUUUCUAAUCUUAAAUUUUAUAAGUUUCAUAUUUCAUCAAGAAACAUGAAAAUUAACAACCCCUUAUCAUCAUUUUUCCUAAUUUUAUUUUUUUCAAUUCUUUUCGAUUUAUGCAUAGCUAAUGAUGUUAUGUUACACAAUGUUGUAAACUUUGGUGCAAAACCAAAUGGCAAAAUUGACUCAUCAAAUGCAUUUUUAACUGCAUGGGAUUUAGCUUGUGGCUCUACAAAACCAUCUACAAUUUAUGUACCAAGAGGGAAUUUUUUAGUUAAACAAGUACAUUUUAGAGGAAAAUGUAAUAAUAGUGAGAUUAUUUUUCGUAUCGAUGGGACUCUCGUAGCGCCUUUCGAUUAUAAUGUGAUUGGAAAUGAGAAAAAUUGGAUUUUUUUUCAAGGUGUUGAUGGAGUUUCUAUUGUUGGCGGUAGUCUUGAUGGUCAAGGAUCUGGUUUAUGGACUUGCAAAGCCUCCGAAAAGAACUGCCCAAGUGGUGCCACGGUAUGUGUUAAGUUAUAUACAUUGACAGUAUAGUAUAGUAUGACGAAUGUAAUAACUAUUUUAUGAAACUCUUACAUGUUUGAUAGUGUAAUUUAUAGUAUACAUUUAGCAAGAACCAUUCCAGUGGGCCCAUGAUUCGUAUUAUAAGAGGAGUUAAAUUAACUUCUAUAUACUGACAGUAUAAAUAGCGUAACUUCUUUGCUCUCUAGCAAGAACUGCCCGAGUGGUGUCACAUUACGUAUUUGUGAAAAGAAUUUAAUUUAUAUACAUUGACGUUAUAAAGAAAUGCAACUUUUUUAUUAUGUUGUAGCUUGAUAGUGCAACUUAAUAUAGACAUUACUCCAAAUUUCUUUCCUCUUUAGCAAGAACUGUCUAAGUGGGGUAUGAGAGUUUAACUUAUUUACACUGACAAUAUAAAAAACCUAUGUUGUAGCGAGUAGCGUGCUUUAUUAUUAUUCAGGUUUAUGUACUGAUCUCACAUUUUUUUUUGAAUGAAGCGUUACGUAUUAGUUAUCUUUUAGAUAAUCUGAUAGCGUGACACAGGAAUGAUAACUAUUAGUUGUGCUGGUAAUUUGGAAAGGCAAGUUCAAAACACUGUUCAUUUCUCAAAAUUAGCAGUUUUUUUCUUUAUGUAUGUAACGUUUCCUUGAAGUAAGGAUAAAUGUGUUACUUUAUGUGAUUAACUGUCAAAGCAUUUUCUAUCAUGGUAUUUAUGGUUAAUUAAUUUUUUCAAAGGCAGUAUUAACUUCUUUAUUGGAAAUUAGCUUUGACCUUAAUUAGACCAUAAAAGUUUUCAUGACCCUUGUGUUCCGGCUCUUUCGUGGACCCGACACACAUAGAGGGAGCUUAGUGCACCGGAUUGCUUGUUACUGAUGUUUUCCUGCAUUUGACCUUGUGUUCCGGCUCUUUCGUGGACCCCACACAUCGCAGGAGCUUAGUGCACCGGACUGCUGUUACUGAUGUUUUCCUGCAUUUGACCUUGUGUUCCGGCACUUCCGUGGACCCCACACAUCGCGGGAGCUUAGUGCACCGGACUGCCCGAUACUGAUGUUUUCUUGCUAUUUGACCCUUGUGUUCCGGAUCUUCUGUGGACCCCACACAUCGUGGGAGCUUAGUGCACCGGCCUGCCUUUCUUGACUCUUGUGUUCCGUCUCUUCCGUGGACCCCACACAUAGCAAGAGCUUAGUGCACCGGACUGCCUUUCUUGACUCUUGUGUUCCGUCUGUUCCGUGGACCCCACACAUAGCGGGAGCUUAGUAUACCGGACUGACUGUUACUGAUGUUUUCUUUCUAUUUGCAGACUUUGGGAUUUUCCAACUCUAACAAUGUAGCGAUAACGGGGCUAACUUCAUUGAACAGUCAAAUGUUUCACAUUGUCAUCAAUGGGUGCAAAAAUGUGAAGUUGCAGGAUGUCAAGGUUUAUGCACCGGGAAAAAGCCCGAAUACUGAUGGCAUUCACGUUCAAUUAUCAUCAGACAUCUCAAUCUUGGACUCGAUAAUCAGUACUGGAGAUGAUUGUGUAUCCAUCGGUCCAGGAACUAGUAAUUUGUGGAUCCAGAAUAUCGCUUGUGGCCCUGGCCACGGAAUCAGGUAAGAAAUUUUGCGCUGUCAUGUCAUACAGAUGAUAUCUAUAGGUAAAAUGUAGGAUAUGCAUGUAGUCUUGAAAAUAAGAAAUGUAAUGUACUGCAACAGGUAAAUGUGACGUGAUGGUGGGAAAAUUCUUCAAACUGACAAUGUAUAUAACUUAAAGCCGGUCUAAAUUUCAAUGUAUAUAUGCAGCAUUGGGAGUUUAGGUAAGGAUUUCGAAGAAGCAGGUGUGCGGAAUGUGACAGUAAGAUCAGUUAUAUUCAAGGACACACAAAAUGGUGUGAGGAUCAAAACAUGGGGUAGACCAAGUACUGGUUUUGUCAACAAUGUACUUUUCCAACACGUUACGAUGAUUGAUGUUGAAAAUCCAAUUGUUAUCGAUCAAAAUUACUGCCCGAAUAACAAAAAUUGUCCGGGACAGGUCUCUGGUGUGAAAGUAAGUGAUGUUACAUAUCAAGACAUACAUGGAAGUUCAGCAACACGAGUCGCGAUGAAAUUUGAUUGCAGUAAGAGAAAUCCAUGCAGAGGAAUAAAACUGGAAGACGUAAAUAUUACAUAUAAGAAUGAACCAGCUGCUCAAGCUUCUUGUGCUAAUGUUGCAGGUACAACUACUGGUAUAAUUCAACCUACUAGUUGUUUGUAAGGACAAAUUGCAGAACAUUGUUAUUUUUACAUUGUCGAAACUAGAAGUUCUUGCUUGAGCCUUUGGCGCGAUUUGAAUCGCCCAUUCAAAAAAAUUGUUUAGCUAGCUUUGUCAUUUUACUUUCUUGAAAUUAGUACUGUUUGCUUGAGCCUAUGGCGCGAUUUGAAUCGCCUGGUCUAGCAACACAUAGGAGAAGUUGUUUUCUCAUCAUUGAUCUUAAUUGAACAUUUUUCUACUUUGGUCUAUCAGAAAUGUCAAUUACAUGUUAUAAUCGUCACACACCUAUCAAGCAUAUAAGUUCAAUAGUCGCGUUUCAGCUCAAUGAAGCUAAGCUCAAUCGCGUAACAAACUUCUCUGGCUUUAGUAUCUGUUAAACAAGAAGUUGAAUCAGUACAUUACACAGACAUGAGUUGAACUAAUAGACAAUUUCAUUACAUGCUUUAAUUGUCACAUCUAGUCUAAACUAAAUAGUCAAUAUUUCAUAUUUGAACUCCUUUAUAUCCUACUACAUAGUCUAAACUAAAAUCAGAAGUCGCGUUUUUCAGCUCCUUGAAGCUAAGCUCAUUUGUGUAACAAACUUCUCCGGCUUUAGUAUCUGUUAAACAGCGAGUUGAAUCAAUAGAACAUACACGGAACAGACCAGACCAGAACGUUGAGAAGGUUAUUGCUAUCACAUUAGUUCGUUGUUAUUUAGAAUUAACUGUUGCAUUUUUCAGCUCCUUGAAGACAAGCUCAACCGUGUAGCAAACUUCUCCGGCUUUAGUAUCUGUUAAACAGCAAGUUGAAUCAAUAUAACAUACUCGGAACAGAACAGAAUAUUGACAAAGUUAUCGCUAUCACAUUAGUUCAUCGUUUUAUAGAGUUUAUACGCGGAUCUUCUAGGACUAACCACAAAGUAGAGUUACAGCAGAAAAUGUAACUUAACAAUACAGAGGAAAAUCUGAUAAUUUAGCAUGAUUUUCAAUGUCAUACACCAACAAAAAUCAAUAGAACAACCAGUAUAUAUAAUACUACAUUAUACAAAAGAAUUCAAAAUACACUUUAUAAGUUGGAGCCUGACUAGGCCAGCCUCCAAACAAGUAACAGAACCAAUAAAAAAUGCAGUUAUCUAUUUUUUUCUUCUAUAUUCGUAUAGACUAUAGAGUGUAUGUAUUUCUUCAUUAUAUUCUGUAUAUUUGAUCUUAUUUUAUAAGCAGUGACUAAGUUCUUCAAAACCAGAAGCUCUUCCUCCAGCAUUAACACAUGAAGCAUCAGCUCGACCAUCUUUGUAACUAAGAUUCACAUCAUCAAGUGUUAUUCCAGUACAUGGAUUCGUUUUGCUACAAUUUAACUUCACUGCAACUUCUGUAGACGAUGUUCCAUGUAUGUCUUGAUAUGUUACAUCACU
rnacentral:lncRNA from 1 species